UAGACCAGAAGAGGUGCGUUAGCCAGGUAGUUCAGGACAGAUGUCUAUACAUCGUAGCCUGAACGAGGGGGACUAACGCCGAGGGAGGCGCUGAUAUAGAGCGGCGUAUCCCGGUCGUUAAGGCUGAAUCCUUACGACUGUCACCUGAAAUUGCGGUGGAGAGCUUCUGGCCUU
rnacentral:ncRNA from 2 species